AUUGAACGCUGGCGGCAGGCCUAACACAUGCAAGUCGAGCGAGCGGCGGACGGGUGAGUAAUGCAUGGGGAUCUGCCCGCUAGAGGGGGAUAACUCCUGGAAACGGUGGCUAAUAACGCAUACUAUCGGAUGACCACCUAUGGGAUUAGAUAGUAGGUGGGGUAACGUCUCACCUAGGCGACGAUCUCUAGCUGGUCUGAGAGGAUGAUAAGCCACACUUGGACUGAGACACGGCCCAGAGUCCUACGGGAGGCAGCAGUGGGGGAUAUUGAACAAUGGGCGAAAGCCUGAUGCAGCGACGCCGAGUGGGGGAUGAAGGCUUUCGGGUUGUAAACCUCUUUCGCUAUCGAACGGGUAGUUGGAGAAGAAGCGCCGGCUAACUACGUGCCAGCAGCCGCGGUAAUUC
rnacentral:rRNA from 1 species